AUACGUAGGUGGCAAGCGUUGUCCGGAAUUAUUGGGCGUAAAGCGCAUGUAGGCGGUUUGGUAAGUCGGUCGUGAAAAUGCGGUGCUUAACGCCGUAUGGCGAUCGAAACUGCUGAACUUGAGUGCAGGAGAGGAAAGGGGAACUCCCAGUGUAGCGGUGAAAUUCGUAGAUAUGCCACAGAACGCCGAUAGCGGAGGCAGCUCUCGAGGCCUGCAUUGGCGCUCGGGGACGAAAGCGUGGGGACCGAACAGGAUUAGAUCCCCGGGUAGUCCACGCCGUAAACGAUGGGCGCUCGUCGUCGGCGACAGACAGUCGGCGGCCAAGCGAAAGCGAUAAGCGCCCCUCCUGGGGAGUACGGUCGCAAGGCUGAAACUCAAAUGAAUUGGCGGGG
rnacentral:rRNA from 1 species